rnacentral:rRNA from 1 species
GCGAAGGGUGCAAGCGUUAAUCGGAAUUACUGGGCGUAAAGCGUGCGUAGGCGGUUUCUUAAGUCUGCCGUAAAAGCCCCGGGCUCAACCUGGGAAUGGCGGUGGAUACUGAGAAGCUGGAGUACGGUAGAGGAAGGUGGAAUUCCCGGUGUAGCGGUGAAAUGCGUAGAGAUGGGGAGGAACACCAAUGGCGAAGGCAGCCCCCUGGG